rnacentral:tRNA from 1 species
AUCAAAGGAGAAGCUCUAGCUCCACCAUCAACACCCAAAGCUGAAAUUCUACUUAAACUAUUCCUUG